GUAUGGAACCUGCCCUUUACAGGGGAAUAGCCUUUGGAAACGAAGAUUAAUGCCCCAUGGUACCUUCUAUAGCAUUAUAGGAUGGUUAAAGAUUUAUCGGUAAAGGAUGGCCAUGCGUCCCAUUAGCUAGAUGGUAAGGUAACGGCUUACCAUGGCGACGAUGGGUAGGGGCCCUGAGAGGGGGAUCCCCCACACUGGUACUGAGACACGGACCAGACUCCUACGGGAGGCAGCAGUGAGGAAUAUUGGACAAUGGGCGAUGGCCUGAUCCAGCCAUGCCGCGUGCAGGAAGAAUGCCCUAUGGGUAGUAAACUGCUUUUAUACGGGAAGAAAAAUGGGCACGUGUGCCUACUGACGGUACCGUAAGAAUAAGGACCGGCUAACUCCGUGCCAGCAGCCGCGGUAAUACGGAGGGUCCGAGCGUUAUCCGGAAUCAUUGGGUUUAAAGGGUCCGUAGCGGGCCGGUAAGUCAGAGGUGAAAUACUGCAGCUCAACUGUAGAACUGCCUUUGAUACUGUCGGUCUUGAGUCAUGGUGAAGUUGGCGGAAUAUGUAGUGUAGCGGUGAAAUGCAUAGAUAUUACAUAGAACACCGAUUGCGAAGCAGCUGACUAACCAUGUACUGACGCUGAUGGACGAAAGCGUGGGGAGCGAACAGGAUUAGAUACCCUGGUAGUCCACGCCGUAAACGAUGGAUACUAGCUGUCCGGUACCUUGAGUACUGGGCGGCCAAGCGAAAGUGAUAAGUAUCCCACCUGGGGAGUACGUUCGCAAGAAUGAAACUCAAAGGAAUUGACGGGGGCCCGCACAAGCGUGGAGCAUGUGGUUUAAUUCGAUGAUA
rnacentral:rRNA from 1 species